AUAAAACUUGGUGCUUGACCUAUACAUUUCAGACCAUUCUUUGCUGAAAUUGAAACCAACCCAGGAAGUGUACUUGGUGUCUCCUCACAUCUCACAGAAAUUUGUGGAAAACAUUUCAGCCAGAUCAAUUCCUUCAUCAGGUUUAACUUGUGGUUGCCUAGUAGCUGGAUUUACACUGUGAAGAGGCUGCAGAAAAGAGGAUCUGAGCCAUGACAAUGUGGGUUUCUUCAUCUAGCAGUUCUGGAAAACCAAAAGCAGAGCCAUAAUUUCUGCCAUGGCAUGCAAUGCUGUAUUCAACUUCUGCACAAGUGUUUUGGAAAAGAUAUUCUUCAUUAGACCUAGCACCGUGGCAUGGUUUGACUUCUUCCUGUUUCCCAAUUUGCCACUUAUCUUUAGUAGUCUGGUAGAGUGCAGCUGUGGCACACUAGUUUUUCCUUGCAGUGAUGAGUGUCUCAAGUGGGGGGGUGAUUUGCUUCCUACUCUCUGCAAUCCUGAAAAUGUGGAACUCGUUCCCUCUGGAGUUAUGAAAUGUGGACAGAUUCCUCUUUUUUCCAGUGGAAAAGCAUGAAAUCAUAGCCACAUUGGUUGGAAUUAUUAUUCAUUUAACAGUUAAGCUUCCAUUAUGUUUUACUGUUUGCUACAUGCCGUUUUUAUGUGCCUCAGUUAUAUGCAUUUUGCAGUUAACUGUUUGAAAGGAGAACGAAGUGAUUUACCAGGAUUGUGCCUUUCUCCCCACUAAUUCUGUGCUUUUCUUGUUGUUAGGAUGAUAUUUUUUUUCACGUUGCAUGUGGGCAUGUAGUAAAACAUAAAUAUAUUACAUUUUACUGUCUGAUUCAUAGAGACUCCUAGAAAAAAGAAAACUCUUUGUGUGCUGUGAUAUAUCAUCCCUAUAUGUGGGUAUAACCAGAGCUUAGUUUUAUGCUGCGUGGUGAAGUUCUCUGCACAAGCCCUAUUCUGAAGGAAGCUGUACAAAAGCAGUUUUUUCUGGAAGCUACCACAUUGUGGAAUUGUGCCUUCUGGGUCAGAGAUGAAAGGAGCUGGCCAGUAAGUCUGAAGCUGAAACAUUUUUUUCCAAAGGACAUCUUUGGUUGCUGAUGGAUUUUUUUAGAGUCUGAGUCAAAAAGUACUCUGUUUUCCUACUGACCUAUUUUUCAUGAAUCUUGAAAAAAAAAAAAAAAAAAAAAAAAAGCAUGGUCUGUGAUUUUCAUCUCUAAGUGUACCCUAAAGAGUGUAGGUGUAUGUGUUUGUCCUGAAUUUGUUCAUGGACUACUCAAAACUGACAAAUAAUGAGUCAUGUGAGACUGGCCAUGUGCUUGUUUUUGGAUGGCUGAAUUAUAAAGGAAAAGUAAUGCAGAUAUCUUAACAUUAUGUGACCUUUGAAUAUUGUCAAUAUAAUUAGAAAUCCUUUUGGUAAUCUUAGUAGUCCACAGGAGAGUAAGCAUUAUCAUAUCGGUUCAGUGGAUCUCCUGCACUAUGACAAUUUCAUUAUUAUAAUGUUCGUUGUUGAAAUCAUUCCCAAAUCUUGCAGUCUUGAAGAGAUGAGAGAAACAGGGGAAGUGCAUGCCCUGAUAGUAGCUUUUCUAUGGUAUAAGUUUAGGAGGUAAUUUAUUUUCACAUUCCAAU